rnacentral:rRNA from 1 species
GUCGAGAAUCUUUCACAAUGGGGGCAACCCUGAUGGAGCGACGCCGCGUGGAGGAUAAGGUCUUCGGAUUGUAAACUCCUGUCAUGUGUGAACAAGGUUGCUUGGUUAAUACCUGGGCAAAUUGAUGGUAACGCAAGAGGAAGAGACGGCUAACUCUGUGCCAGCAGCCGCGGUAAUACAGAGGUCUCAAGCGUUGUUCGGAAUCACUGGACGUAAAGGGUGCGUAGGUGGCGUGGUAAGUCAGAUGUGAAAGCCCGGGGCACAACCUCGGAACUGCAUCCGAUACUGCCAUGCUAGAGUACUGGAGAGGUGACUAGAAUUCUCGGUGUAGCAGUGAAAUGCGUAGAUAUCGAGAGGAAUACCAAAGGCGUAGGCAGGUCACUGGACAGUUACUGACACUGAGGCACGAAGGCCAGGGGAGCGAACGGGAUUAGAAACCCGGGUAGUCC